GACGAACGCUGGCGGCGUGCUUAACACAUGCAAGUCGAACGGAAAGGCCCUGCUUUUGUGGGGUGCUCGAGUGGCGAAAGGGUGAGUAACACGUGAGUAACCUGCCCUUGACUUUGGGAUAACUUCAGGAAACUGGGGCUAAUACCGGAUAGGAGUUUCUUCUGCAUGGUGGGGGUUGGAAAGUUUCGGCGGUUGGGGAUGGACUCGCGGAUUAUCAGCUUGUUGGUGGGGUAGUGGCUUACCAAGGCUUUGACGGGUAGCCGGCCUGAGAGCGUGACCGGCCACAUUGGGACUGAGAUACGGCCCAGACUCCAACGGGAGGCAGUAGUGGGGAAUAUUGCACAGUGGGCGGAAGCGUGAUGCAGCAACGCCGCGUGCGGGAUGACGGCUUUCGGGUUGUAAACCGCUUUCGCCUGUGACGAAGCGUGAGUGACGGUAAUGGGUAAAGAAGCAACGGCUAACUACGUG
rnacentral:rRNA from 1 species